rnacentral:misc_RNA from 1 species
CCCAACUAUCCCUAUUAAUCAUUGCUCACAAAUCCAAAAACCAACAAAAUACGAUAAACGAGCCCUAACUUAUUAUUCCAGCUCUAAUAGCGUAUAUUAAAGUUGUUGCAGUUAAAAAGUUCGUAGUUGAAUUUCGGGAUCAAAUUGUCGGUCAUGCUUCGGUACGCACUGGCAUUAUUGGUUCCUACCUUCUGAAGAACCACGAUGUCAUUAAUUUGGUGUCGUGGGGAAUCAGGACUGUUACUUUGAAAAAAUUAGAGUGUUUAAAGUAGGCGCACGCUUGAAUACAUUAGCGUGGAAUAAUGAAAUAGGACGUUUGAUUCUAUUUUGUUGGUUUCUAGGAUCGACGUAAUGAUUAAUAGGGAUAGUUGGGAGAGUAGCUAAG